rnacentral:rRNA from 1 species
UACGUAGGGUGCAAGCGUUGUCCGGAAUUAUUGGGCGUAAAGAGCUCGUAGGCGGUCUGUCGCGUCUGCUGUGAAAACCUAGGGCUUAACUCUGGGCGUGCAGUGGGGUACGGGCAGGCUAGAGUGCGGGUAGGGGGAGACUGGGAAUUCCUGGGUGUAGCGGUGAAAUGCGGCAGAAUAUCAGGAGGAACACCGGUGCGAAGGCGGUUCUCUGGGCAUUGCCUGACGUGAGGAGCGAAAGUGUGGGGAGCGGA